GAGUUAGUAGAGCACAAGCGGAAUAUGAAAAUUUCAAAAUUAUGGUGACUGGGCAUUCAAUGGGCGGGGCUAUGGCAGCUUUUUGUGGGUUGGAUCUUGCGUGUUAGGGAAUAAUGCUGCUACAAGUGAUGGUUUCAGCAAUGGCACAUUCUUCAGGGUUGUUCUAUUAGUUCAUAGGGAAAAGGUACUACGUGUAAUAUGGAUUUGUCCACUUAUAACUGUUUUCUUGGAUAUUUGUCGGUUAUUUUCUUUCCAUGGCAAAAUAUGUGGAAAGAGCAAGGAAAUGCUUAGCACUGAGUUUAAUGCACUGUAGGUUUGUUUCCAUUUGUUCAUGAGAUUUCAAUUGAAGAGGAGAUCUGACAUGUACCCAAAAGAGGUAUGUGGCCAAAGGUUCGUGUCCAUUUUGAGACCAUCAUCGUAG